GACGAACGCUGGCGGCGUGCUUAACACAUGCAAGUCGAACGGAAAGGCCCUGCAUUUGUGGGGUGCGCGAGUGGCGAGCGGGGGUGUAUCACGUGAGUAACAUGCCCUUGACUUUGGGAUAACUUCAGGGAACUGGGGCUCAUACCGGAUAUAAGCUCCUGCUACAUGGUGGUGAUUGGUAAGUUACGGCGUUUCGGGAUGGAGUUGCGGCUUAUCAGCUUGUUGGUGGGGUAGUGGCUUAACAAGGCAUUGACGGGUAGCCGGCCUGAGAGGGUGACCGGCCACAUUGGGACUGAGAUACGGGCCAGACUGCUACGUGAGGCAGCAGUGGGGAACAUUGCACAAUGGGCGGAAGCCGGAUGCAGCAACGCCGCGUGCUGGAUGACGGCUUUCGGGUUGUAACCCUCUUUCGCCUGUGACGAAGCGUGAGUGACGGUAACGGGUAAAGAAGCACCGGCUAACUACGUG
rnacentral:rRNA from 1 species